AGAAUUCAUUUUUUUUCAUAUAUCGAUUCUGAAAGAGAUGAAGUUUCUCUCUUUUCUCCAUCUCCAAUUCUCCAUGUUUUCAUGGGAUCAUAUCGUGGUUUGUUUUCUCGGAUGUAUCCUCUCUCUUCUUAGUUCUUCCGGUCCAGCUUUAUUGAAUUAUCAGUGGUGAUUCUGGAUUUUUUUUCGAUUUGUUGGUGGAAUCGGAGAUAUUUUCAGCCUUUUUCUGUGGAUUGUUGUUUCUUCUUCAAGCGUGGUGUUUAGGGUGAACUUCCGACACAUUUCGCGGUUGAUUCCGGCAGAUUCAGAAGCGUUGGAUUUACACUGAACAAAGCUAGGGUUUUCUCUGAAUUUUUGAAGGCCGUUCUUCUCCGGUAGCGUAGAAGUCGGGUAAUCCUAUUCUCACUCUCGUCAAGAGCUUGCAUGUGUUUUUGCUGGAAAAUCUGUUGUAUCGUGUAGUUCACAUAUAUUGAAUCAAUUUCUCCUCAUCACUGUUGUUCUGUUUCUGAUGACAAAUAUGAAUCCUAUUAAUCCCUCACCUAUUGACCCUACAAGCCCUUUCUUUGUUUACUCUUCUGAUGUUCCUGGUGUUUCCCUUGUUCUUAUUCCCUUUUCGGGUAGUGGUUAUGGAGGUUGGAAGAGGAAGAUGAUAGUUGCCUUGUCCGUUAAGAACAAAAUUGGUCUUGUUGAUGGUACAUGUCCCAGACCAGAUACUAACCUGGCUGAACAAAAAUUAUGGGACAGAUGCAAUAAUAUGGUAAUCUCCUGGUUGACUGCAUCUUUGUCUCCUCAAAUAGCUGAGAGUGUGCAAUAUUCUGAGACUGCACAGAGUAUAUAGGCACAACUCGAAGCCAGAUAUGGCACAGCCAAUAGGACCAAAAUUUUUGAACUUAAAAGAGAACUCUCUCACUCUUCUCAAGGACCUCUAGAUAUAGCAUCAUAUUUUAACAAACUCAAAGGGUUGUGGGAUGAGCUAGGAGCAGUAUGUACAAAUCAUGGCCAAAGAUGUAUUUGUCCUGCCAGAACUGGCAUCAUAAAGGAGGAUGAGGAGAAUAAGGUGUUUCAAUUCCUCAUGGGCCUUAAUGAGACAUAUAUCGGGGUAAAGAGCAACUUGCUGAUGAUGCAGCCUCCCCCUACCCUCAACAAUGUAAGGAGCAACUUGCUGAUGAUGCAGCCUUCUCCUACCCUUUACAGUGUCUAUAGCAUUCUCCUCAAUGAUGAAAAACAAUGACAAGUUCAGUCUAUUUCCCAGUUCAAUCCUGAUUCUAUGUCCUUCAGUGUCAACACAAACAAAAAUUCUACACCUUCUUUCAGUGAAGUUGCAGUGCCCAACUCUUUUCCUCUCAGACAAUAUGCCCAGAGAGUUACAUUUGACCAAUCCAGAGGACCUCUCUUCUGUAGAUAUUGAAACCGAGAUGCAUUAGCACUGCUUCCUAAGAGCAGCGUGUCUACCAAUUUCACCAUAGCGGCNNNNNNNNNNNNNNNNNNNNNNNNNNNNNNNNNNNNNNNNNNNNNNNNNNNNNNNNNNNNNNNNNNNNNNNNNNNNNNNNGCGUGUCUACCAAUUUCACCAUAGCGGCCUGUCUUGAACUCAUAAUAGCCUAUGAAUAAGCAAUCGUCGAGAUUGAUGAAGCUAUUUUAGUUUAGUAAUGAUACAAAUGGAUCAAUAACAAUAAUAAAGUUGUUCAAAUAGGAGUUUGAAGUUGAAGGUUCAUUAUUAUAGAUUUUAGUUUAAAGUCUUAGUUUUUUUUAUUUAACCUGGGACUUUCCUAUAUUUUAUGCUUUCCUCGAAUUGGACUCUUGUAACUAAACCGUUCUAUACUCAAUUAAGGAAUAGAGUUCCAAAAUUUUUGUUUUCAUUGUUUAAUCAGCUAUUUCCUAUUUAUUUUAUUAGUUUACUAAUGAUACAAAUGGAUCAAUAACAAUAAUAAAGUUGUUCAAAUAGGAGUUUGAAGUUGAAGGUUCAUUAUUAUAGAUUUUAGUUUAAAGUCUUAGUUUUUUUUAUUUAACCUGGGACUUUCCUAUAUUUUAUGCUUUCCUCGAAUUGAACUCUUGUAACUAAAGAAGAAUUCUGGGCAGUUAAUUGAUAAGUGUUACAAACUUCAUGGAUUUCCACAAAGCACCAUGUUUAACAAAGGGAAGAGAACUGUUGCUGCCCAUGUAACCACUGGUGCUGAUUUCACCUCCUUCCCCUCUUCUGAUGGAUACACUUCUAAUGCUCCUGGAAAUCACAUAGAGGGUAAUUCAUCUGUCCCAAAUGUGGAUGGACAUGGU
rnacentral:lncRNA from 1 species